GAGAAGGUCAUUGCUGUGGUGAAUCCAAUGAGAAAUGCCAAGAGAAAACUGAGGAUAGCCGAAAAGCAUAAAGCACACAAGAAAAGGAAAAUGAUGUCAAUGAAGAUGGGAAGAUGGAUAUAGUUAGACUAUGGACUAUAGAGACUGAGGAUUGCCGAAAAGCAUAAAGCACACAAGAAAAGGAAAAUGAUGUCAAUGAAGAUGGGAAGAUGGAUAUAGUUAGACUAUGGACUAUAGAGGUACCAAGCCAUUGUUAGGUGUGAAGAAUUGAGUAUCUUCAAUUGCAGUAGCUUCUGUAGAAAAUUUUGUUUUAACUUAUUUGAUCAAAUUUUUUCAUUGUAUAAUGCCUGGUAGUUUGCACUAAGCUUAGUUAAAGUAUGUUAUUUGUAUAGUGGCCCUUUGAUUAACCAACAAUGCCAGAGAACAUUGUAAGCGAUUGAACAGUGUAAUUUAAGGUUUUUUAAGUAUGGGAAUCAGUUUGUAUCAGUUUUCUUCCUAUUUUGGAGUGCAAAUGAAAAUAUGUUACAUUUUAAGUAUGGGAAUCAGUUUGUAGCAGUUUUUCUUCCUAUUUUACUUGUCCACUAUACUAAAUCAAGAGAAAAAAAUAUAUUUU
rnacentral:lncRNA from 1 species